AGGACCUGAAAAACGUGUUCCCACCCAAGGUCGCUGUGUUUGAGCCAUCAGAAGCAGAGAUCUCCCACACCCAAAAGGCCACACUGGUGUGCCUGGCCACAGGCUUCUACCCCGACCACGUGGAGCUGAGCUGGUGGGUGAAUGGGAAGGAGGUGCACAGUGGGGUCAGCACAGACCCGCAGCCCCUCAAGGAGCAGCCCGCCCUCAAUGACUCCAGAUACUGCCUGAGCAGCCGCCUGAGGGUCUCGGCCACCUUCUGGCAGAACCCCCGCAACCACUUCCGCUGUCAAGUCCAGUUCUACGGGCUCUCGGAGAAUGACGAGUGGACCCAGGAUAGGGCCAAACCUGUCACCCAGAUCGUCAGCGCCGAGGCCUGGGGUAGAGCAGACUGUGGCUUCACCUCCGAGUCUUACCAGCAAGGGGUCCUGUCUGCCACCAUCCUCUAUGAGAUCUUGCUAGGGAAGGCCACCUUGUAUGCCGUGCUGGUCAGUGCCCUCGUGCUGAUGGCCAUGGUGUCAAGAGAAAGGAUUCCAGAGGCUAG